CCAAAAAUCUAGCCCUAAAUUAUCUUAUACUCUCCCCUCCCCAUAAACAUAAACUAAAACAUUUAUUCUGCUUAGUAAAGGCGAUUGAAAAGCUUAUUAGAGCUAUAACAAUAGUACCGCAAGGAAAAGAUGAAAUAAAAAUGAAAUAAAACUCAAGCACAACAAAGCAGAGUUACCCCCUCGUACCUUUUGCAUCAUGGUUCAACUAGUCUAAUCAAGCAAAAUGAACUUUAGUUUGACUCCCCGAAACUAGACGAGCUACUUCGAGGCAGCUUAAUGAGCUCACCCGUCUCUGUUGCAAAAGAGUGGGAAGACCCCCAAGUAGCGGUGAUAGACCUAACGAGUCUAGUGAUAGCUGGUUACUUAAGAAAAGGACUUUAGUCCCAUCUAAAGCAUUUUUAAUUCACUUAAAUAAUUCCUAUGCUUUAGCUUCAUUCAAAUGAGGUACAGCCCGUUUGAAACAAGGACACAACCUGCACUAAUGGGUAAUGUCUUUCUCCUGCGUAAACAAGUUGGCCUAAAAGCAGCCAUCUUUAAAAUAGCGUCAAAGCUUACUUACUAUUCCCACCAAUCCCCUAAUACACCCCAAUCCCUUUAUUUGUAUUAAGUUAUUCUAUAAUCUUAUAGAAGCCCUUAUGUUGAAACUAGUAAUAAGAAGAUAGCCCUUCUCUUAAAUGUAAGUGUAAAUCAGAAAGGACAUACCACUGAUAAUUAAACACCUAUGGCCCUAAAACAGCAACUCCACUAGAAAACCCUGUUGCCCUUAAUGUUAAUCUAACACCAGCACAUUUCAAGAAAGAUUAAAAGAAAAAGAAGGAACUCGGCAAAUAUUAACCUCGCCUGUUUACCAAAAACACCGCCUCUUGCAUAAUAUAAGAGGUCUAGCCUGCCCAGUGACCCAGUUCAACGGCCGCGGUAUCCUAACCGUGCGAAGGUAGCGUAAUCACUUGUUCUUUAAAUGAGGACUAGUAUGAAUGGCAUCACGAGGGUUACACUGUCUCCUUUUUCUAAUCAAUGAAACUAAUCUCCCCGUGAAGAAGCGGGGAUAUGUAUAUAAGACGAGAAGACCCUAUGGAGCUUCAAACUAUUUAGCACUGGCUUUUAUAUAUCUCUACUUCAGAGUUUUUACACUUAUUCUAGCCUCUUGACUAAUAGUUUUAGGUUGGGGUGACCACGGAGCAAAAAUUAACCUCCACGAUGAACAGAGCUACUCUUGAACCAAAAGCCACAACUUUAAGCACCAAUAAACUGACACAAAUUGACCCAAUAUUUUGAACAACGAACCAAGUUACCCUAGGGAUAACAGCGCAAUCCACCUUAAGAGCCCCUAUCGACAGGUGGGUUUACGACCUCGAUGUUGGAUCAGGGUAUACCCAGUGGUGCA
rnacentral:rRNA from 1 species